CAUGUUGAUGUAGAGGGUGAAGUGGUGAUGAGUGAUAUGACUCCCCACAUAGGAAGGGCGUGCUCAUAAACCAUCUCUCUGCUCUUCUUCUCUGUGGAAUUCUCAGCUAUUUCUCACACUCCCUCUCUCCACAUUUUCUCUCUCUGAAUUUCGGAACUUCAUCAGUAGGGAAAAAGAUCAAAGCUGAAACCCCAUCUUCUCCACUGAUUCUAAGAUUAGGGUUUCAUUUUUCUUCUCGACAGCUCCAAUUUCGGUAUAUAAGUGCUUGGAUUGAAUAUUGUGG
rnacentral:lncRNA from 1 species